GGUUGAGGGGCUGUGCUCCCCUGGGGGAAAUGAAUGCUUGUUAAGUUCAACUCUUUUUUUCUUCUGCAAAUAUCACAAAAGGGUCUAUACCUGCUGUAAACUUAAUAUGCUUAAAGUGACAGCUAGGUAGCGGUGGGUAUUUGACUGACAGGAUUGUAGUCCUCACAGUGCUCUGAGAGGUGCAUGCACAACUAUCCUAAUUAAUAAUAGCUUUUCCCUUGGUACCGGUCUGAAAAAAGUGUAUCCUUUUGUUCACUUAUUCCUCUGAGCCUCAGCCACUAACUCCCAAACUUAAUUUUAUGUUCUCCAGGAAUUCCACUGAAUGCAGUAGAACUAUACAUGAGUUAAGCUGUGUACAGGUAAAUGAGCUUCGAACCUGGGGAGAAAACAUCAUCAUCAUUAUCAAAAGCAAACCAAGUCUACCAAAUGGAACCAUAUUUUCUACACAUCUGCCAUAUAUCUGCAAAUAUACCUUUUUAUUGAAUAUCCUGAACACAACUGCAGAAGAAGUCAACAGGGCAGCCAGUUGGCUGCAGGAGGGAACAAGCACAAGCAAGCGGGGACGUUGAUCUCAGUAAGAGUGGGAGCAAAUAGUGAGGGUGAAGCAGAUGGUGACUUUUUUAAUUUUAAUGAAGAUUAGAACCAGCAGCCUAGGGCCCAAGAAGUUGAGCAUUACUUCUUAUCUGUGAGAAACUUAUCUGAGAUGUCACUUACUUUGAAAAAAACUACUCAUCUGUUAUAACACAAGCAUUCCCUCAUCUGUCCAUGUAGAGCGAUUGUUCAGUAGUGGGGGCUUAGUUUUGCAAGACAGAAAAGGAAAAUUGUCAGAUGUACGUUUUGAAGCUUCUGCUGAAGUUCAAUAAGCAUGUUUAAACAGUUUUGCUAUGCAACUGAACAUUCUUUUUCUCAUUUAAACUGAUUUUCUCAUUUGAGUCUAAUUUAGAUUUUCAGUCAUUU